UGCGUCGGAACGUGCCGAGUAAUGGGGGAUAACGCAUCGAAAGGUGUGCUAAUACCGCAUACGCUCUGAGGAGGAAAGCGGGGGACCUUUGGGCCUCGCGUUAUUCGAGCGGCCGACGUCUGAUUAGCUAGUUGGUGGGGUAAAGGCUCACCAAGGCGACGAUCAGUAGCGGGUCUGAGAGGAUGAUCCGCCACACUGGGACUGAGACACGGCCCAGACUCCUACGGGAGGCAGCAGUGGGGAAUUUUGGACAAUGGGCGAAAGCCUGAUCCAGCCAUGCCGCGUGAGUGAAGAAGGCCUUCGGGUUGUAAAGCUCUUUUGUCCGGGAGGAAAUCCCGCAACCUAAUACGUUGCGGGGAUGACAGUACUGGAAGAAUAAGCACCGGCUAACUACGUGCCAGCAGCCGCGGUAAUACGUAGGGUGCAAGCGUUAAUCGGAAUUACUGGGCGUAAAGCGUGCGCAGGCGGUUUGAUAAGUCAGAUGUGAAAUCCCCGGGCUUAACCUGGGAACUGCGUUUGAAACUGUCAGGCUAGAGUACGUCAGAGGGGGGUGGAAUUCCACGUGUAGCAGUGAA
rnacentral:rRNA from 1 species